UUGUACGCUGGCGGCAUGCUUUACACAUGCAAGUCGGACGGCAGCACAGAGAAGCUUGCUUCUUGGGUGGCGAGUGGCGAACGGGUGAGUAACAUAUCGGAACGUACCGAGCAGUGGGGGAUAACUAAUCGAAAGAUUAGCUAAUACCGCAUAUUUUCUGAGGAAGAAAGCAGGGGACCAUUUGGCCUUGCGCUGUUUGAGCGGCCGAUAUCUGAUUAGCUAGUUGGUGGGGUAAAGGCCUACCAAGGCGACGAUCAGUAGCGGGUCUGAGAGGAUGAUCCGCCACACUGGGACUGAGACACGGCCCAGACUCCUACGGGAGGCAGCAGUGGGGAAUUUUGGACAAUGGGCGCAAGCCUGAUCCAGCCAUGCCGCGUGUCUGAAGAAGGCCUUCGGGUUGUAAAGGACUUUUGUCAGGGAAGAAAAGGCUGUUGCUAAUAUCGACAGCUGAUGACGGUACCUGAAGAA
rnacentral:rRNA from 1 species